GAGGAAAGUCCGAGCUACAAAGGGCAGAGUGCCGGAUAACGUCCGGGCGGCGUGAGCCGACGACCAGUGCAACAGAGAGCAGACCGCCGUGAAAACGGUAAGGGUGAAAGGGUGUGGUAAGAGCACACCGUGCCGUUGGUAACAACGUGCAGCAAGGUAAACUCCACUCGUAGCAAGACCAAAUAGGAACUCAAUGGAUGGCCCGUCCAGAGUUCGGGUAGGUUGCUUGAGCGGCAGAGUAAUUUGUCGCCUAGAGGAAUGAUUGUCCACGACAGAACUCGGCUUA
rnacentral:RNase_P_RNA from 3 species